CUCAUAGUAACGGCGAGUGAACUGAGAUAAGCCCAGCGCUGAAUCUUUCGAUGUUGAAUCGUAAAGAAAUGUAGCGUAUAGGUAUAAUUAUCGAUUUGUUUAACAUGUCUAAAGUUCCUUUGAUAGGGGCCAUAUUCCAGAGAGGGUGCGAGACCUGUACGGACAGUUGAACAUAUCGUAUGAUUAUCACCUUGGAGUCGGGUUGCUUGAAAGUGCAGCCUUAAGUGGGUGAUAAAUUUCAUCUAAGGCUAAAUAUGGACGCGAAUUCGAUAGCAAACAAGUACUGUGAAGGAAAGUUGCAAAGAACUUUGAAGAGAGAGUUCAAGAGAACGUGAAAUCGUUGAAGUGGAACCGGAGAGAGUUGACGUAGUCUAAUGGAUAAGUAUUACAAGAAUCGUAUAAAUUAUAUGAAUAUGAUCGAGUAUUAUGUAUGCCAUUAAUGACUGUGUUGACAAUAUCGACUACAUAAUCUGAAUCUAUGUUAACAUGUUGCCUAUUCUAUAUGUCGUGUAUAGAAUGGUGUCUUGUGUUACGUGAUAAAGUUUAUUGUAUGUUGAUAUAGAAAAGUAUAUUUAUUAUUGUAUAAUAAUAAUUAUGUCAGCAUAAAAGUCAAUCACCUCUCCGACCCGUCUUGAAACACGGACCGAGGAGUGUAACUUGUACGCGAGUCAAUAGGUGAAAAACCUAAAGGCGAAACGAAAGUGAAGGUACAGUUAACUGACUAACAUGGGAAAUGUGCGUUAUUGUAUAUUAAUAACGAAACAUUACACCAUGGCCCUGUCUUGUCUGCAUGCAGAUGGGCAGCGGUAGAGCGUACAGGUUGCGACCCGAAAGAUGGUGAACUAUGCCUGAGCAGGACGAAGUCAGAGGAAACUCUGGUGGAAGUCCGUAUCGGUUCUGACGUGCAAAUCGAUCGAUAGACUUGGGUAUAGGGGCGAAAGACUAAUCGAACCA
rnacentral:rRNA from 1 species